UAUUUCUUCUUAUUGCUUCUAUAUGAAACUUGAUGGUGCCUUGACAUAUUCAUGUUUACAAGUGAAAUUAUCAUUUUACUGUUAAACUUUUGGCAUUUAAACAUUUUGAGGGUCGACUUGAAGCUUCCUGGUUGCAGAGCUGUGUGGAUGUUGAUGCUGUGGACAUGGUUGGGUUGUCUUAAUGUUGUGUGAAGAGUAAAUAUAAAUCUAGAUUUUUCCGUAACGAUGACGCUCAGUUCUUCUCUUGGUCACUGCGGGAAGAGGAAGAGCAGUCGGGAUGUAAAUAUGUGACUGUAGCUUCAUAUUUUAGGCAGAGCUGCAGUUCCAUGUUUCUUCUGAAGAUGCUCAGUUUUGUGAUCUUCUGUCAUGUUUGGUUCCUGAUCCACGGCAGAGAAAACUCCACAGGUCUUCAGACAAGAAGUGUCAGUUCAAUGGACAGUCCAUCUCCUCAGUCAGUGAUCCGGUUUUCAGUCCCAGAGGAUCACCACAUCUGUCUGCCAUGCGACCUCUCCGACAGCUCCGAUGUGGUCUGGACCUUCCAGGACAGGAAGGUUCUGGUGACCCGACAGGGCAGCUACGAGACUAACGAGGACAGCCGGCGCUACCGUCUGCAGUCUGACGGCGGACUCUGCCUCCAGCAGCUUGACGACUCGGACGACGGAGGAUACCGCUGUAACCAGCUGCUGGUGGCCGAGCUGCAGGUGCUGUCAGGCCAGGACUUCAGUGUGUCUGAAGGACGGACGCUGCUGCUGCCCUGCAGAUCCUCAAGACUCAGACUGAGGUGGAGUCGUCAGAAGGAGGGAGGGAGGCAGGAGGUCAUCUUCACCCGGUUCAAAGACGGGACGGUGAAGUCGGAGAUGGACAGCAGCCGGCUGAGCUUCACCAACGACGCCCUGCAGAUCCAGGAUCUGCAGCUGGAUGACACCGGAGAGUAUUUGUGCAACGGAGUCCUGCAGGCCAGAGUGGGCGUGUUGACAGGCCGGUUAUUAAUUGCUCAUAUUUAACAUAUAUACUACCAUAGAAGUAUAUCAUACUUCUAUGGUAGUAUAUCGUGUAACUAACAUGAUAAAUAUGAAUACAUAACUCGGAAUUAGUGCUGAUGAACAUCUAUUACAACAGCUUUAAUGUGUUUUUAUCAUUCUGACCUGUUUAAGAUUCAUUGUUUUGCAUUUUAUACUUAAAAUCCGUCAUUCUGCCGAUAAUAAUUAUUUAUAAUUAUUUACAGCAUGUGCUUCCAGACUGUAAACAUCAGAACUUUAUUUGGCCAAAUUUGCAGUUUUUAUAGUCUUACCUUUAAGUCAAUGCUUUUUAAAAAAAAAAAAUUCAUUGUUUUUCACUCAAAACUACAGAAAAAGCCCAGUUUCAUUGUGAAUAUUUAACUCUGUUUCUAGAAUGACUUUUUACCAUAAAAUAACUCUUCUGAGACAUGUUUAGCAGGUAUUGUAUAUUUGAACAUUGUUCUGUUGUUCUUGAUCAAUUAAAUACAAUUUUAAUUCAUUUCUUUGACUUAUCAGUGGACCAUGAGCCAACCAGCAUCCCAACAUCCACCAGUACAGCUCAAACAUCUGCAGUGAUGAAGACGGACAUGGUUGAAACAAAGAAGAAAGAGAAGAAGAGGCCAGAGAACGCUCUGCUGCUGGUCGUAGUCGUGGGUUUGGGGUUGAUGAUUGUCUUCAUGGCGUCUGUCUGCGUAUUACUGACCAGCAUGAAGUGCAGGAGGAGGAAGAAGCACAGAUAUGCAGCAGCACUGAGACAUGAAGACACCGAGCUGCAGCCGUGGAAGACUUCCAGUGGACAAACCGACUCUGAGGCUGUCGAGGAGACGAUCCAUUACGCCUCUCUGGGCCGACAGAACUGGAGGGAAAGACCCGGCAGGACUCCAGCGGACCAGAGUGUGAUCUACUCGUCCGUCAUCACCAGACCUGCUGCCAGAUAGAAACGCAAACACGCCGAGUCCGAAUCAUUCGUUUGUCUUUAAACUGUCUCUACGCCACAGUCAUCGUCUCCUUUGUCUCAGAACAAACCCACUCAUGGAUUAAUAAAUUAUGGAUUCAUUUAUUCCAUCUCAGAUCAGGAAUCUUCUGCUGGAGCGUCUCUGAUUUACCUACAACUCUAUCUUACUGUAUUUAUCAACCAUUGACAUAAAAUGUUUACAAAAACUGCCCAAUGAUCCAAAAAAAAUGUUGGAAAACUACGUCUGAAAUCAUCACAGGCUUUCUGCUCAACCAUCUGAUUUCUGUUAAACCUUUCAAUCAUAAACUUUUAAAACAGCAUGAGUGAAAUUAGAUUAAUAUUUAAAACUGUUUGCAAGACAAUUAAAAAUAAAAUCGCCUCAAAAAAUAAGCUAAAAGUUUGUCAACACAAUUUUAAGAGAACUUAUAUCUUGAUGUUUGAUAUCUUGAUCUAAAAUGUCUGUAGUGUCUUUAUUAAUAUCCAUAUUUCAUGAUAUAAGAAAAUGAGAAAAAUCAGAGAUGGUCAAAAAAGUGUUGGCUUCAGAUGGAUUUACUCUUAAAAGAGUGAAUUGUUCUUUUUCCAGUUUAACUAAAGCUUAAGCCUGACAGGAGGCUUAAAUGACAGCUUUUCACAGAGAUGAACUCAACUUUAGUGAUUAUAAAUCAAUAUAUUCUGACAAAACAGCUCAAAGUUAGAAACUUAAAUAUCAUUUCAGCAUUAUACCAUUAAACUAUAAACAUGUGAAACGGCUUCAUCUCCACUGGUUUUGUGUCUUUAUGAAUUAAAAAGUUUUCCAAGCUCUAUAUUUAAAUCUUAAUAUAAAUAAAAAUGGAUUCAGUGAUUUAAAAAAAUCUGAAGCAGAAUUUCCAAACCACAUUUUCUGACUGUUGGUUUCUGUAUAAAUGAUUUAAUGAAACAUGUCUUUAUCCUUUCAUUCUGCAGAUUGUUUCAUCACAGCUAGAAAAUGUCAUCCAGUUUCCUCUAAAUGUUCAACAGGAAAGUGUGACGCUUUUGCUGCUUUUGACAUUUAAAUGAAACCAACUGACUGAAGUCUUUAUUUCCCUCUAUUUAUCUGCACAUAGGUCUUUAUUUCCCUCUAUUUAUCUGCACAUAGGUCUUUAUUUCCCUCUAUUUAUCUGCACAUAGGUCUUUAUUUCCCUCUAUUUAUCUGCACAUAGGUCUUUAUUUCCCUCUAUUUAUCUGCACAUAGGUCUUUAUUUCCCUCUAUUUAUCUGCACAUAGGUCUUUAUUUCCCUCUAUUUAUCUACACAUCGGUCUUUAUUUCCCUUUAUUUAUCUACACAUAGGUCUUUAUUUCCCUCUAUUUAUCUGCACGGACUUGUAGGGAUUUUAAUGUUGAGUCUCCUCUUCUCUCAUGAAGUAAAAGUGAAAGAAAAUAAUAAAGCUGUUAUUUCUGACCAGGUCACACCCUGAAAAUGAUUAGCUCCAGUCAGUUAACUUGUGUAAAUCUGCACAGAAAUAAUAAAGUCAGAAAACAUACCUGCGUUUGAGGAAGCCGGAUGGUGUCACUUCACACGGGAAACACCUGAAAAGAAAUGUAAAAAUGACAAAACAAUAAAUAUCCACAUGACAAAAAACAUAAAAUGAGUAAAAGCAGGUUUAGGUAUGAGAAGAGUUUAUUGGAAAAGGAACAUUUAACAGUGAAAUAAAGACAGUAGAGGCUCUAAACAUCAUAGACAGAAAAAUAAACAGAUAAGAGAUGUUUAACAUUCAGUUUCUGUUUAUGUACAUCAUUCUUGGUUUAAAUGGGCAAAGCUCCAAAACAUCAGGAACAGAAAAUGUUCUUUACAUAAAGUACAGUCACAUUAUUUUUCUCCAUCAAGUCGGUGCAGCUUCAGUCACAGAAAACUUUAUAAUUAGUUUAUUUAAAUAGGAAGAUAUUAAAAUGUCCUGUUUGCUUAUAAAAGUCAUAAAUGUUUCUUUUACCUGUUAGUUUUAGCUCAAAGAUGGAACAAUUUUCUGUGUGGUAUGAUCCAAAGAAAGCAGCAAAUCUUUAUUUUGUACCUAAAAUCAGCAAAUGUUUGACUUUUUAUUGGAAAACCAUCAAUGAAUCAUUCAUCACAGUGAUGUUAUGAAUGUAUUUAUGAAAUAAAAUGAGCAUAAAUCUAAUUUACUAUAGAUAUGAGGGAUUUUUCUCAUAAAGGUGACCAGUCUUUAAUUAUUUACCUCCAUCCUGCAGCGCCCCCUGGUGUCUGAACACCAACAAUGUUUACAUGGAAACAAAAGCUGCUUAUUGACUGAAACUAUGGACUUAUGACCACAUAUGUAACAGUCUAG